GCCGCUGGUCACGUGCCUCCCAGAUUCUGGGAGGUAAAUUUAAUUGUAACUGUGAGAGGGGUGGGAAAGGAGCGUGUUUGUAGCGUUUUAAAAUUGCAACUUUGGGUGAUGCAAUUUACUGUAAAUUUGCAACAAGAAAUCGUAAAGAGAACUCUUGAAUUAAUAUUUAUAUCGUGACGUUCUACUGUAUAAUCUGGUGUCGAGUUACAAUUCAAGCAAGUUGGAUCAGAUUUCAUUAUAGACUUGCCAAAGAAAGCACGCUUGCCGCUUGUGCAGCGUGGCAAUAUUAAACCUACAAGAAAAUAUAUAUCUCUAGACCGAACAGUGUGGUUGUUAUUUAUUUAGUAUUAAAGUCUAUCCUGAUACUCGGACCAAAAGAAUUUAUUUAUUGAUGAGAUGUGGAAUUGCAAUGAAAUAGCGAGAUAUUUUGAUUUCCGAAAUAUCGCCAACUGUAUCCAGAUUGUUGAUCUAUAUAAAGGCCUUACAAAAAAACUUAAAUCCCGUCAAAAGACUAUAAAAUUGGCCCUUGGGCCUUGGCAUAAUGCUGAAACCAACGACCAUGGUAUAUGUCAAAGUAUUGCUGUCUGUUGAAAAUCUAUGGUAUUAAAAUCAUACACCAAAGAUAAGUCAAACGACAAAUUAUAUGAUCACUAUAUUAUACAUGUCUUUCAAUGAACACUGUUUAGAACUGUUCACCACCUUUAUAAAUUUUGUAAACAGCUUUCGUUUUGACAUGAAUAAGCUUUAAUUUUUUGCUUUAUAUGAAUUCUUAAUAAUGCAAGUGAGAUUUAAAUGUUUGCUUUGUGAAAUAGAAUACCGUUAUUUUUAAUUAAUGGACAGCUUGCAUCGUCUAUAUCAUAUCCAGGAUUGCUUGUGUGUAAACGCAUUAUUCACUAUAUGAUACUAUCAAAUAAAUAUAAGUAGCAAAUGAUUAAUGAAUUAGAGAUAAAGGGUCCUACUGAAUACUGCCCGGAGCGCCCGGGGACGCCCGGGAGUGCCCGAGGACGCCCUGAAGCGCCCGGGAGCACGUGAGAACGCCCGGGAUAUACAAGAUAAUAUAAAUC